UACGGAGGGUGCGAGCGUUAUCCGGAAUUACUGGGUUUAAAGGGUGCGUAGGCGGCCAAGUAAGUCAGGAGUGAAAGUUUGCGGCUCAACCGUAAAAUUGCUUUUGAUACUGCUAGGCUGGAAUUAGGAUGAGGUCAGCGGAAUGUGGCAUGUAGCGGUGAAAUGCAUAGAUAUGCCAUAGAACACCAAUUGCGAAGGCAGCUGGCUAGACCUAUAUUGACGCUGAGGCACGAAAGCGUGGGGAGCGAACAGG
rnacentral:rRNA from 1 species